rnacentral:rRNA from 1 species
GACAGAGGGUGCAAACGUUGUUCGGAAUUACUGGGCGUAAAGCGCGUGUAGGCGGCUACGCAAGUCGGAUGUGAAAUCCCGUGGCUCAACCACGGAAGUGCACCCGAAACUGCGCAGCUGGAGUCUCGGAGAGGAAGGUGGAAUGCUUGGUGUAGAGGUGAAAUUCGUAGAUAUCAAGCGGAACACCGGUGGCGAAGGCGGCCGUCUGGACGAUGACUGACGCUGAGACGCGAAAGCGUGGGGAGCAAACAGG